UGGGGAAUAUUGCACAAUGGGGGAAACCCUGAUGCAGCGACGCCGCGUGAGCGAUGAAGUAUUUCGGUAUGUAAAGCUCUAUCAGCAGGGAAGAAAAAAUGACGGUACCUGACUAAGAAGCACCGGCUAAAUACGUGCCAGCAGCCGCGGUAAUACGUAUGGUGCAAGCGUUAUCCGGAUUUACUGGGUGUAAAGGGAGCGCAGGCGGUGCGGCAAGUCUGAUGUGAAAGCCCGGGGCUCAACCCCGGUACUGCAUUGGAAACUGUCGUACUAGAGUGUCGGAGGGGUAAGUGGAAUUCCUAGUGUAGCGGUGAAAUGCGUAGAUAUUAGGAGGAACACCAGUGGCGAAGGCGGCUUACUGGACGAUUACUGACGCUGAGGCUCGAAAGCGUGGGGAGCAAACAGG
rnacentral:rRNA from 1 species